UACGUAGGGGGCUAGCGUUGUCCGGAUUUAUUGGGCGUAAAGAGCUUGUAGGCGGUUUGUCGCGUCUGCCGUGAAAAUCCGGGGCUCAACCCCGGACUUGCGGUGGGUACGGGCAGACUAGAGUGUGGUAGGGGAGACUGGAAUUCCUGGUGUAGCGGUGAAAUGCGCAGAUAUCAGGAGGAACACCGAUGGCGAAGGCAGGUCUCUGGGCCACUACUGACGCUGAGAAGCGAAAGCGUGGGGAGCGAACAGG
rnacentral:rRNA from 1 species